rnacentral:piRNA from 1 species
UUCCAAAUCUCAUACCAGCCUUACUCCAAG